UAAGGUUAACCCGCAAUCCGUUUGGUUUUGGUUUUGAAAAACCAACAAAUAUUACGGAAACAGCUUCCCAUCAUGAUUUUUGAUAAGAAAACACCACACGGAUUGCAAAAGAAAUUUCAGCUUCUCAAUGUAGACUACACAGCAUCACCACAAACUGGAAAAAUAUGACGUCAUUUGCAACGACGUCUCACGAUCGGUCAGACGAAAAUGAUUUCUCGGGCGGUAUAUUGCUUCACGCUUGUUUGUUUCUGUUUCAAUCUUCUUUAUUUAAAGGUUCAAAGCUAUCCGCUGAUGGCUAACGAAGGACAAAGUACAUUACACAAUGGCACAGACAUCAGCUUGAAAGAAAGUGUCGAAGCUCUGCUGGCCUCUCUUGCCCUUAUUAAUCAAUAAAUUUUGAUUCAAUUUCCCAAAUUGAAUAAAUACUUGAUUUUUCAAUGAA